AAUGAACGUUGGCGGCACGGAUUAGGCAUGCAAGUCGAGCGGGCGUAGCAAUACGUCAGCGGCGUAAGGGACAGGAACACGUAGAUUACCUGCCCUCGGGUCUGGGAUAGCCACGGGAAACUGUGGGUAAUACCAGAUGAUAUCUCCGGAUCAAAGGUGUGAUUCCGCCCGAGGAUGGGUCUGCGUCCUAUUAGCUAGUUGGUGAGGUAAUGGCUCACCAAGGCGAUGAUGGGUAGCAGGUGUGAGAGCACGACCUGCGUCAUUGGGACUGAGACACUGCCCAGACACCUACGGGUGGCUGCAGUCGAGAAUUUUUGGCAAUGGGCGAAAGCCUGACCAAGCGGUGCCGCGUGCGGGAUGAAGGCCUUCGGGCUGUAAACCGCUGUCAGUGGGGAGGAAAGCUUUGUGAAGAGCAAGGCUUGACCUAUCCGCAGAGGAAGUGUGGGCUAAGUUCGUGCCAGCAGCCGCCGUAA
rnacentral:rRNA from 1 species